rnacentral:rRNA from 1 species
AACAGGCUAAUUUGCGCAAGAGUGUACAUAAUGAGUGCGCGGUUUGGCACCUCGAUGUCGGCUUAACUUAUCCUCACGGAUGCAGAAACUAUGUAGGGUACGACUGUUCGUCGAUUAAAAAGUUACAUGAGCUGGGUUAAAUACGUCGUGAGACAGUAUGGUUUCUAUCUUCUAGAGGGAAUUAGAAUAUAACAAGGAUUAAUCUUGUACGAAAGGAACAUGGGGUACUGUUGUAUACCCAAAAGGUAUGCCAAUUUUAUUAACCUCUGGUUUACCUGUUGUUUAUGUGCCUUGUAUUAAUUUCUUUUUUUUCGACGUCGUACGAAAGAAAAAAAAGGAAAAUGGGAUGUUAUAGUCACUAACUAAAUAAAUAACAUAAGCAUGGCAGGAAAGCUAAGUUAGUCAAAGAUAAGUGCUGAAAGCAUAUAGGCACGAAGCUUGUCUUGGGAUAUUUCUUAAAUAUACGUAAUAUAAUAUUACGUCAUUAGGCUUAAUUUGCAAGAAUCUAGAGAUUUUAAGGUAUUAAGUACUAAUUUUAUAGUAAACUAUAUAAUUGAU